rnacentral:tRNA from 1 species
CCGAACUGUAGCUCAGCUUGGUAGAGCAGUGGGUCCCGCAAGGGACGUCUUCGUGUCCGCCUGUUCCCUGCCGGGACGUCUCUAAAGGCCAGGAUGGCGGCGUAGGGCGCGGUUACUUCGCUCAUAACGCACGGGUCGCGGGUUCGAAUCCCGCCGGACCGGG